AGUUAUAAAAUUGAGGGCCCCUCUUAACCUCCUUUUUUUUAGAAAUUGUGUAGCCGUUUGGUUCGGGUUAAGGAAAAACUAGUUAUUCCAGGGAUAGGGUUAAGUUUAGGGUUAAGGUGGGGUUAAAGUAUUUUUGUAUUUGGUUGGAGGUUAGAGUUAAAUCAGGAUAGUGAAAAAUAGUGUCUGGUUAGAGUAGGUGGGAUAAGAAGGAUAGUGGGUUAUUAUGAAUAGAAAAUAGUAUUUGGUUGGGGUUUGGUCGGGUUAGGUGGGGUUAGCUAACCCCAUCUGGGGUUAGCUAACCCCACCCAUUUUUAGAAGUGUUUGGGGAUAAAAUG
rnacentral:lncRNA from 1 species